AUUGAACGCUGGCGGCAGGCCUAACACAUGCAAGUCGAGCGGAUGCAGGGAGCUUGCUCCUGGAUUCAGCGGCGGACGGGUGAGUAAUGCCUAGGAAUCUGCCUGGUAGUGGGGGAUAACGUCCGGAAACGGGCGCUAAUACCGCAUACGUCCUGAGGGAGAAAGUGGGGGAUCUUCGGACCUCACGCUCUCAGAUGAGCCUAGGUCGGAUUAGCUAGUUGGUGGGGUAAAGGCCUACCAAGGCGACGAUCCGUAACUGGUCUGAGAGGAUGAUCAGUCACACUGGAACUGAGACACGGUCCAGACUCCUACGGGAGGCAGCAGUGGGGAAUAUUGGACAAUGGGCGAAAGCCUGAUCCAGCCAUGCCGCGUGUGUGAAGAAGGUCUUCGGAUUGUAAAGCACUUUAAGUUGGGAAGAAGGGCAGUAAGUUAAUACCUUGCUGUUUUGACGUUACCAACAGAAUAAGCACCGGCUAACCUCGUG
rnacentral:rRNA from 1 species